UACGAAGGGGGCUAGCGUUGCUCGGAAUCACUGGGCGUAAAGCGCACGUAGGCGGAUUGCUAAGUCAGGGGUGAAAUCCUGGAGCUCAACUCCAGAACUGCCUUUGAUACUGGCGAUCUUGAGUCCGGGAGAGGUGAGUGGAACUGCGAGUGUAGAGGUGAAAUUCGUAGAUAUUCGCAAGAACACCAGUGGCGAAGGCGGCUCACUGGCCCGGUACUGACGCUGAGGUGCGAAAGCGUGGGGAGCAAACAGGAU
rnacentral:rRNA from 1 species